UCUUCAUGUAUGGUGUCACCUCUGCAGCAAGCUCCCAUUGAGGUAUAUCCUUCACAGUGGUUGGGGUUUUGAUUUCCCAGUUUCCACCACCCCAUUCAGGUCCUUUUGGAACCAUACUCUCAGCAGCAAAGUUGGCAAAUAUACCUUGUGUCCAUCCAGUAGAUCGAACUCGUAAUAUCCUUUCACAAUAUCGCCUCAAUUCUGAGUCAAGGCUGUCUUCUUCCAAUUUCUGAGCAAGACGCCGCAUGGCACUGGGAUUAAGGUGGCAUAUAAACAGAUCAAGCAUGCCUUCAUAGUCUGCUAUAACUUCAAAUGUUUCUUUUGCACUAUCAAAUUGACCAAACCUGCAAGUGAUAUUAAAUUACAAAAGUAACUACAAACUUGUAUUAUAUCAUAUUAAUAACUACAGUACCACUACAAACCACACAACAAAAGAUCAAUUGUAUGAGCUCCAAGUUCCAACACUAUAGUUGAUACAUGAGAGCUAUAAAUCAAUGAAAGGAAAAUAGUCGGUCAAAGCUGACUUGACCCAUUGUACCAUUGUACAUGGCGAGAAGCAUUGACAAUGAAAAUAUACAGAUUCAUUACAAAAUAUGAAGAGAAAUAUGAAGAUGAAUGUAUUAUUCAUUACAAAAAAUUAGGAGAAACACAGAUAACCAGAGCGAUGCUCCAACUCCCCCUCUAAAAUAAUCCUCUACUACAUGGUCCUCCCCAUAACAAACUGUCACCGGGUGCUAUGGUAGAGGAUCUAAUUAAUCACUUCUUGCAGGUUUUCCUUUUGAAGGUAUUAUUAGUAAUUGGAUCCCAAGAAGGUCCAUAGUCAUUGGCGCUUAUCUAUAAUUUUGGAAACCAUCAAGGCCAAGGUUGUGAUAUAGGUAUCGACAAGAGUGGAACAAUGUGAGAAGAAACUUUACUAUGAUUGCACACUCACUUAUGUCGUUGCAUUCUCACUCCACCCAAUAAUAGGUCACAAUCAUGGAAUUAACACACUUUUUAACACACUCUUUGAUUGGUUAUGUUAAAAUUCAAUGUAUGUUUUAAUUUAUUCCUUGAUUGUGCAACAUCCUAGGCUAAUUGUUAGUAGUCCUAGUCAAUACAAUUUCCUAGACAUUGAAUGUAAUUAUUGCAGCAUCAUUAUAAAUAGAAAGGAUGUGAUCUCAUUAGAGAAACAAGAAACAUAGACUUUACACAUAAAUUUACACAAACACUUCACCUAAUAUUUUACAUGGUAUCAGAGUAGCUUUUGAUUUUGUGACCUGUUUUUGUGCUUCACUACCACUGCCGACAAUACCACCUUUCAAUCUUUUAAUUUUUUGCCACAAACAGUUGUUCAUCAUCGUCAACUUCGGCAGCCCUACCCUGUCUUCUCUGCAUUUUCCAGCUGCGCCAUAACCAGAGUUUUUUUCCGUGUAGUUAUGUGCUUAUUUACACUGUUACAGCUGUGCUAACACAAGCUGCACUUUUUCCAAUGCGACCCACUGCCUAAAACCACCACAGACUGCUGCACAAUCCUCUGACGAACACAACGGUGCUCCUGGCGUUAACCGACACAGCACACGCCAUCACACGCAUCCACCUUCUCUACACGUGGGUGUCACAUCGCCAUCAAACCCACGCGUGCAUCUGUCUCUGUCCACCAUAUUUCAUUGCCAGUUGUUGCAAACUCCCCCUCAAACUAAAACUUACUACGCGCUAGUGGAUUGAUUUUUCAUCAACCUCUUAUCUUUCAAUUCCCCCUUCCGCAUUGUAUCUGCUGCUGUGAGAACUUAGUUUCGUGGACAAGGGACCAUUUGCUCAGACAAUCAUUUUAUUCCCACCGACGAUCAAUCCAGUGGUGACUCUAUCCGCACAUACGAAUCAAAUGAGUGGCGCCUUUUAUUCUAGCCGACGAUAAAUCUGGUGGUAACUCUAUUCCCACAUAUGAAUCAUAUUAGUGGCGCGUUUUAUUUCCACCGAUGACUCUUUUGCACUUGAAUUGUUAAUGGUGCCUUCUCUUCUCAAACUUGUCCAACAGUUGUCAACUUUAGCUUCAUUUUUUUUUUGGGAUAAAAUGUUUUGAUGUAACAAGCUUAAAGCAUAGUAUGCUUUAGCUUGACGAGAAGUGUUAAAAUUCCGUAUAUGUUCUAAUUAUUCCUUGAUUGUGCAACAUCCUAGGCUAAUUGUUAGUAGUCCUAGUCAAUACAAUUUCCUAGGCAUUGAAUGUAAUUAUUGCAGCAUCAUUAUAAAUAAGAAGGUGUGUGAUCUCACUAGAGACACAAAAAACACAAAAAUUUACACAUAAAUUACUCAUAUUUUACAAGUUAAAGUCCAAACGGGUCCCACCAAAUUCAUAUGAGGCCCACAUGAUAUAGUGGACUUAUGUGAAUUUAAACUAAUUAAAGAGUGUUAGAAAGUGUGUGUUACUAGAACUCCUCUAUGAUCUAUUGUAAGAUCCAACAGCCACUAAAAAAUUAAUAAAUAAAAACUACGAUUUUCUUGUCAAGUAUAAUAUAGUUAUAUAAUCUAAUGGUUGGUAUUAGAAAAUAAAACUUAAACAUAUUAAUGUAGACAUUAAAAGGUUUUGGAACAAGAAAUAGUUUAAGCAAAUAUGUAGUAAAAGGAACAUGCAUCAUAUGCAUAAUGACAUUUCCUAGUUUGUCUACCUGAUACACGCAUAAGCCAACUGCCUGAACCGGUGAAACAAAUGAGAUGUGGGAGGACAUCUUGGAUAAUCUCUGGAACGCAGAAAUUCAUCUUUCAGAACAGAUAAAGCAGUGGAAAAACGAAGAGCUUUCACAGCAUAGACACCUCGCAUCACCUGAGAUCAGAUUUUCAACAUGUUCAGUAGUUCAGAGAGUCCAAUGCAAAAUUAUUAAGACUGCAUCCAAAUGCUUACCUGGGUGAACUGUGGACCUGAUUGUGAUAAAGAGACAGCUAAAUCUCCACAAACCGGAGAUCCUCUUGCAAGGAUAUCCAGAGACCUUGGUGUUAUGCGCAAGCUGUCGAACCUUCAAUCGGAUACAAAUUUAAUGUGUCAAUCUUAUCAGCUUCAGUAUACAUUUAAUUAACUCUUCAAGACUAAAGCUGGACUUCUGCCCAAGGAAGCAAUUUGACGAGUAUGCUACCAGUUUGGUGCAAGUUGCAUAUUAUUUCCAAAUAUGGUGUAAAUUGAAUCUAGUUUGAUGCAAAUUGUGGCUGCAUUACACAACUUAGUUUUGGAUCUUGUUUAAUAACAAAUUGAAUCUAGUUUAAUAGUUUUUUAUUUAAGUGGUUGCCAAGAUACGUAUAAGAGAGGUAUUUUGUCAAUGAGCAUGAGUGGAUUGGCUUGUCGAUAGCAUGGAGUUACAUGGAGUGGUAUGAGUGACAAUAUAUCUUGUGAUUUAUGAGGAGCAUAUAUUUCCAAUUUAAAACUACGCAGUGAUUAGGUAGCCAAGAUUAUCAUAAUAUUAGGGGAAAAAGGACUUGUGGCCACAGGACACAACUAUAAAACUACAUAACAAGAAACCCAAACCAAAAGAAUGGCUCAUGGCCACUUUAUUCAUGUGGUAAUAUCAAAACGGAUCAUACCAACAUAAAAACACAUGUGUUUGAGUAAUGAAAGUGAACUAUGUCUCGCUAGGGCAGGGCAUGAUUUAUAACCUACGGGAAGAGUGACAACUGACAAGCUCACCAUUUAACUUCCAUUGUUGAAAGAGUUUGGAGCCUGGAGCUAACUCUACUCAUUUAUGGCAUAGGUAGAUGCCACCUCAACUCUAUCUAAUGAUUGAAAGCUUAAAAAAAGCACAACAUUAGUAAGAAAAUAUGUAAACAAAAAAGAGGUGAGCCAAAACUAAGCCGUAGCCACUCAAUAAAAUAUUUUUGUAAAAGAUAUAAGUUGCGUCAUACAGUCAUGAGACUUGCACUGAACACUGUUCAUUUACACCAUAUUGAGAAAUCUUUAACUUUCAGCAAACUAAGUAAUAUUCACAUCAAAUUGCAUCUGUUGGUAAAAUGGGCAUAAAAACUUCAGCUAUAGAACAAUAAAGUUGUAAUUUUCAGAUGAGGUCAAAUUUUGAAGGUAUAUAAGAAGGAAACCUCGACGUUAUUUGGUAUAAUAUUUCUGACAGAUCAAGCUUCUGCGCAAAACUUAUCUGCAUUGUGGCAAAUCCAAUCAGAAUAGGUUCAAGAAGACCAACAAGGCAGCUUUUGAUCUCUACCCCCUUCUUCUGUCUUGGAUUUAUUUCUGUAGGGCUAGCGAGCAACAAUCUGUCAUUCAAAGCCCCAACCAAGACUGGAAAAUAAAUUCAUAUAAAUAGAUUAGUAAGACAACAGAUGGAUAAGAUAUUAUGACAUCCUAGUAUGCAGCAAGAAAAUUACCUGCAUAUGGCAUAUUGAUUGAUAGGACAGGCCUCACUUUUCCAUCCCAACCAAGUAUACUGAUGGCAGUAGUAGUAGAGAAAAGAAGGGCAGGCCCAACCCACAAGAGAGAUCUAAAGUGAGCUCAAGUUAAGAUUUCAAAAAAGAGAAUAUAUGCAAUGCAAGAAAUUUAAUGCGAAUAAAUGGUUUCUUGAUAUCAAAAAGAUAAAAUUCAAAGGAUAUUGAAGGAAGUCCCUUAUCAAAAUUUGUAGAAGUUCCCGAAAGCAUAUCAAGUGUCGCCGAAACGAUAAGGACUCUGUGUGUUGUUAAAAUUCCAGCGACAUGUCCCCUUAGUGUUUCUUGCCAGUGCACCUGUCAAAUUUGAAGAAACAUGGAUUAAUAAAGUUAUGUAUUUUAGCUCCACAAACAAGGAGUCCUAUAACAAAUGUCUUUUGCCCGAGCCAUUAUCGAUGAAGGACUCUAAGGGACGAAGAAACAAGCUCUAAACAUAUUUGCUCCUUGUUGUUCCAAUUGGAAACAGCAGUAUUUAAAAUCUUACGUUCAUGUGUACACAUGUACAAUGAUUAUAACAUUCAUGCACUGAAGAAGUUGCACUUCAAUUAACUUUAUUUGUAAACACUUAGAAUUUGAGUUUGGGCUUAACUCAACACCAAAAUCUAGCACAUGGGGUGAAUGUUGUCCCCAACCUAUAACCACUAUUCAGGCCACAUCACUAUCCAAUGUGGGAAUACAACAUCCCUCCGACACUUGAGCGCAAGACUGGAAAGCGUGAAGUUUGCAAAACUCAGUGAUGUUAAAUAGCUGCUAUUGCAUAGCAGGAUUUGGGAAAAACACUACAAAAUCCGAUACGCUAUGACUGUUCCGCUACCACCACAAUAAUGGCAACUAUUCCCAUGGCGGCGAUGGCGGAAAAAAGGAGUUUUAUGGUUUUUUUUAAUGAAAACACUAAAAAAGAAGCAUGUGAACCACUUCAAAAAAAUUCAAAAAGAAUAACUGAAGAAAAGAGUUGUUGUGGAUUGACUCUAGUGAGUUCCUUCUCAUGUAACAGAGCUACGUUUUUUCGGUUUCUUUUUUCUUCUAUUCCUCGGUUUUUUUAUUUUUCCUUUUCAUUCACCUCUUUUUAUCAGUCUUAUUUUUGUUCAUCUCAUUUCUUUUAUUUUUUUCCUUUCUACUCUUUUAAGUUUUUUUGGAUUCUUUCAUCUAUCCUUCUUAUAUUUAUUUUUUUUCUAAUUAUUUCCUUUCCAUUCUCUUUCCCAAUUUAAUUUAUUUCUUCUCUUCCUCUGUGAUUCUUUCAGCCCUGUGUUUUUUUUUUAUUAUUUCAUCCCCUCUAGUUAAUGUUAUGUCACUUUUUCUUUUAAUUUAUGUUUAUGCAGCUUUUUUUUAUCUGUAUGCAUCAUUAAUUUAUUUAUAUAUAAUUGAUUUAUUUCAACUGUUAAACGGCUCAUGCUAUUUUCCAGCAACGCUAUCCGCUAUUUCUCAUAGCCGAUUUUUUGUUUUUCGCUAUUUUCCGCAAUCCUCUAUUGAUAACAUUGGCAAAAUUAGACAUUUGCAGGUGUUAGAAUGGAUUUUAUAGAUUUUGAUAGCAUCUAAGAAUUUGGGUUUGGGCAUGUCAACCCCAAAAUCUAGCGAAGUUGCCCUCCACUGAUACCCAUAUUCAAGCCAUAUCAUAUCAAUAUCAAAUGUGGGACUCCGACAUGAACAAAACAUGCGAUUAGUUAGAAGUGUAUAAUAAUUCAGCUGAGUGCUAAUCACAACAAAAACAUUUUGCCAAUGGAUUUAUAGAUUUUGAUAGCAUCUAAGAAUUUGGGUUUGGGCAUGUCAACCCCAAAAUCUAGCGAAGUUGCCCUCCACUGAUACCCAUAUUCAAGCCUAAAUACACACCAAUAUGAUCUACAAUAAUGGAUGGAAUCGUACCAUCAUCAGUCUUCAUGUAUGGUGUCACCUCUGCAGCAAGCUCCCAUUGAGGUAUAUCCUUCACAGUGGUUGGGGUUUUGAUUUCCCAGUUUCCACCACCCCAUUCAGGUCCUUUUGGAACCAUACUCUCAGCAGCAAAGUUGGCAAAUAUACCUUGUGUCCAUCCAGUAGAUCGAACUCGUAAUAUC
rnacentral:lncRNA from 1 species